rnacentral:rRNA from 1 species
UACGGAGGGUGCAAGCGUUGUUCGGAUUUAUUGGGCGUAAAGCGCGUGUAGGCGGUUUGUUAAGUCUGAUGUGAAAGCCCCGGGCUCAACCUGGGAAGUGCAUUGGAAACUGGCAGACUUGAAUACGGGAGAGGGUAGUGGAAUUCCUAGUGUAGGAGUGAAAUCCGUAGAUAUUAGGAGGAACACCGGUGGCGAAGGCGGCUACCUGGACCGAUAUUGACGCUGAGACGCGAAAGCGUGGGGAGCAAACAG